rnacentral:rRNA from 1 species
ACUAAGCGUACACGGUGGAUGCCCUGGCAGUCAGAGGCGAUGAAGGACGUGCUAAUCUGCGAUAAGCGUCGGUGAGGUGAUAUGAACCGUUAUAACCGGCGAUUUCCGAAUGGGGAAACCCAGUGUGUUUCGACACACUAUCAUUAACUGAAUCCAUAGGUUAAUGAGGCGAACCGGGGGAACUGAAACAUCUAAGUACCCCGAGGAAAAGAAAUCAACCGAGAUUCCCCCAGUAGCGGCGAGCGAACGGGGAGGAGCCCAGAGCCUGAAUCAGUGUGUGUGUUAGUGGAAGCGUCUGGAAAGGCGCGCGAUACAGGGUGACAGCCCCGUACACAAAAAUGCACAUAUUGUGAGCUCGAUGAGUAGGGCGGGACACGUGGUAUCCUGUCUGAAUAUGGGGGGACCAUCCUCCAAGGCUAAAUACUCCUGACUGACCGAUAGUGAACCAGUACCGUGAGGGAAAGGCGAAAAGAACCCCGGCGAGGGGAGUGAAAAAGAACCUGAAACCGUGUACGUACAAGCAGUGGGAGCCUCUUAAUGGGGUGACUGCGUACCUUUUGUAUAAUGGGUCAGCGACUUAUAUUCUGUAGCAAGGUUAACCGAAUAGGGGAGCCGAAGGGAAACCGAGUCUUAACUGGGCGUUAAGUUGCAGGGUAUAGACCCGAAACCCGGUGAUCUAGCCAUGGGCAGGUUGAAGGUUGGGUAACACUAACUGGAGGACCGAACCGACUAAUGUUGAAAAAUUAGCGGAUGACUUGUGGCUGGGGGUGAAAGGCCAAUCAAACCGGGAGAUAGCUGGUUCUCCCCGAAAGCUAUUUAGGUAGCGCCUCGUGAAUUCAUCUCCGGGGGUAGAGCACUGUUUCGGCAAGGGGGUCAUCCCGACUUACCAACCCGAUGCAAACUGCGAAUACCGGAGAAUGUUAUCACGGGAGACACACGGCGGGUGCUAACGUCCGUCGUGAAGAGGGAAACAACCCAGACCGCCAGCUAAGGUCCCAAAGUCAUGGUUAAGUGGGAAACGAUGUGGGAAGGCCCAGACAGCCAGGAUGUUGGCUUAGAAGCAGCCAUCAUUUAAAGAAAGCGUAAUAGCUCACUGGUCGAGUCGGCCUGCGCGGAAGAUGUAACGGGGCUAAACCAUGCACCGAAGCUGCGGCAGCGACGCUUAUGCGUUGUUGGGUAGGGGAGCGUUCUGUAAGCCUGUGAAGGUGUGCUGUGAGGCAUGCUGGAGGUAUCAGAAGUGCGAAUGCUGACAUAAGUAACGAUAAAGCGGGUGAAAAGCCCGCUCGCCGGAAGACCAAGGGUUCCUGUCCAACGUUAAUCGGGGCAGGGUGAGUCGACCCCUAAGGCGAGGCCGAAAGGCGUAGUCGAUGGGAAACAGGUUAAUAUUCCUGUACUUGGUGUUACUGCGAAGGGGGGACGGAGAAGGCUAUGUUGGCCGGGCGACGGUUGUCCCGGUUUAAGCGUGUAGGCUGGUUUUCCAGGCAAAUCCGGAAAACCAAGGCUGAGGCGUGAUGACGAGGCACUACGGUGCUGAAGCAACAAAUGCCCUGCUUCCAGGAAAAGCCUCUAAGCAUCAGGUAACAUCAAAUCGUACCCCAAACCGACACAGGUGGUCAGGUAGAGAAUACCAAGGCGCUUGAGAGAACUCGGGUGAAGGAACUAGGCAAAAUGGUGCCGUAACUUCGGGAGAAGGCACGCUGAUAUGUAGGUGAAGCGACUUGCUCGUGGAGCUGAAAUCAGUCGAAGAUACCAGCUGGCUGCAACUGUUUAUUAAAAACACAGCACUGUGCAAACACGAAAGUGGACGUAUACGGUGUGACGCCUGCCCGGUGCCGGAAGGUUAAUUGAUGGGGUUAGCGGCAACGCGAAGCUCUUGAUCGAAGCCCCGGUAAACGGCGGCCGUAACUAUAACGGUCCUAAGGUAGCGAAAUUCCUUGUCGGGUAAGUUCCGACCUGCACGAAUGGCGUAAUGAUGGCCAGGCUGUCUCCACCCGAGACUCAGUGAAAUUGAACUCGCUGUGAAGAUGCAGUGUACCCGCGGCAAGACGGAAAGACCCCGUGAACCUUUACUAUAGCUUGACACUGAACAUUGAGCCUUGAUGUGUAGGAUAGGUGGGAGGCUUUGAAGUGUGGACGCCAGUCUGCAUGGAGCCGACCUUGAAAUACCACCCUUUAAUGUUUGAUGUUCUAACGUUGGCCCGUAAUCCGGGUUGCGGACAGUGUCUGGUGGGUAGUUUGACUGGGGCGGUCUCCUCCUAAAGAGUAACGGAGGAGCACGAAGGUUGGCUAAUCCUGGUCGGACAUCAGGAGGUUAGUGCAAUGGCAUAAGCCAGCUUGACUGCGAGCGUGACGGCGCGAGCAGGUGCGAAAGCAGGUCAUAGUGAUCCGGUGGUUCUGAAUGGAAGGGCCAUCGCUCAACGGAUAAAAGGUACUCCGGGGAUAACAGGCUGAUACCGCCCAAGAGUUCAUAUCGACGGCGGUGUUUGGCACCUCGAUGUCGGCUCAUCACAUCCUGGGGCUGAAGUAGGUCCCAAGGGUAUGGCUGUUCGCCAUUUAAAGUGGUACGCGAGCUGGGUUUAGAACGUCGUGAGACAGUUCGGUCCCUAUCUGCCGUGGGCGCUGGAGAACUGAGGGGGGCUGCUCCUAGUACGAGAGGACCGGAGUGGACGCAUCACUGGUGUUCGGGUUGUCAUGCCAAUGGCACUGCCCGGUAGCUAAAUGCGGAAGAGAUAAGUGCUGAAAGCAUCUAAGCACGAAACUUGCCCCGAGAUGAGUUCUCCCUGAGACUUAGAGUCUCCUGAAGGAACGUUGAAGACGACGACGUUGAUAGGCCGGGUGUGUAAGCGCAGCGAUGCGUUGAGCUAACCGGUACUAAUGAACCGUGAGGCUUAACC